UUUAAAAUUGCAUAUUUUAUUCACUUAUGUUGUGCAAGAGGCGUCCACACAGGAGUCACUUUAGGACAAGGGCAGUCCAGGUCCAGUUUGCUCCAGUUCUGUGACUCAUUUUAAUCAUUUGGAACGGCUGCCAGAAAAAGAAAGAGAGAGAGAGAGACUAAAGGCUUCUCUCAUUUCAUCUAAGUGAGUCAGUUUUUGGCAGCCGGACUCUUUUCCCUCCAAAUAAGCGGAGCUGCAGCAGUGAGUGCGUCGGUCUUCGUCACUGUGAGCUGAGCAGACAGAGAGGAAUGUGUGACACACGUGAGCGCAAUCGACUUCUGACUGGUUCACCCUCUGCUCGACAUGUGCUCGGCUUCUUUUCGCAGCAUAUUGGGGAGUCCGGCGGUGUGUAAUGUGGAUGGUUUACGAGUGGAUCCUCCUAAAUGUUCCACGCUGGACCUGUAAAAUACCCAACACCCACACACCAGCCAACUGUAAUGCUUAGUAAGUAAGUGACUCCAUUGUUCCAGGUUGGUCAGUCAGCUUCUCCACCACCACCAACCCUCAGGUCCUGCCCUGGACUGCCUUGCAUUUGACAUUUCAUUACGGACACACACAACAAUAAGUGAUAUUGUUCUCGUGUGCAGUCAGAGCCUGAUCGAGCCGGUUACUCCGUCUCAUGCCAUGUUUGCUGCUGCUGCUGUUGAUGCAGAAGAACUUGCUGGAUCAAACUAGCUGUGUCCGGCUGACCACACACACAGAGGAACCACUGUGACACGAUGACUUUCUCUCUCUGAUGUGUCACUUCCCGUAAAAGCCUGCAAAGGUCACACGUUUCUCCACUGAGGGUUUCACUCCAGCGGCUCUCUUCCCAGUUCCCAUCCUCUUCUGCUUAGCUGUUGUCCUUUUUCCUGUCGUUUGUUAUCUGUUGUGCCUGUACGUGCUAAUUGUCUGUCAGCAAGAUAGCCCACAUUUCCACUCAUUGUGCUCAGAUUGUGGUAUUUAUAGCGUGUAUCCUCACCACCGAGGUCAGAAAGCGCUCUUUCUCUCCUGGCAAACUCAUCGCAGCGGCGAGGCGAUCCGUCCUGAUUUACUUUGAACUGACGUAAACAUGACUGACCUAAACUGAGAUUAGAAAAUGAAUCAUAGUGACUAAGGUAGCUGGAAAAAGGUCUAAUGAACGUAUGAAAGAUUCUGCUUCCCCCUGUAUAUAGGGAUGAGAGCGGAGCUGUAGCUGAUGCUGACGAUUAUAAAGAUGAUAUUGAUGAUGAUGGUGUUGGCAGACAUGCGGAUGAAUGUGGAGGCCACAAUAAAUAGCCAUGAGAGGGUGACGGGAGGGCAGCUAUCUGUCCCUCAUAUAUAUAUUAAGUUGUCACAGCAAAUGCGACUGGUGGGUGAUAAGCAAAAAAACUGGUCUCAGCCUGCUGGAGUGAGCAAUGCAGGCCAGAGAGAGACAGAGUGUGAGAGAGAGGGAGAGGGAGUUUGUAACCGACUCUACUCGUUGCACACAGAUAGCUGGCAACUCUGAAAUACUUUAUCAAGGUUCUCCUCGUAAUCUGUUUCACUGCAUGCACACACAUACACACACACAGAUAGGUGUGAUGGUGGUGGUGGUGACAGCACAGUUUGCAGACUCUAGUCUUGACCUAUCACUGCUUACAAUGGGCAAACUUAAAAUACACACUAGCUUUGAUCCUGUAAAUUCAUACAAAGGCACACUUGGGAUAAAGAAGGUCGCCAGAUAUCUAGAUAUCUCAUCUGUUUCCAGCAAAACAACUCAUCUGUCCAAACGUGAUGACUAUUUCAGGCUGCUGGGGAUGAAAGUAAUAUAUGGCAACCAGCAGGCUACAGCGUCCAGUGUCAACUUUCAAGCACAAGAACGCAUACAUAUAGUACCGAUACUACAAUACAGUGAUGCCCUGAUACAUUUCAGGUGCCCAUCGAGAAAAACAAAACAAGUAAAUGGACAUUUAUUAAAAGCCCACACGGAUAAAAACCAGCCAACAACAACAUGCCAUAAACAGAACACUCAGUUUCUUGCCAAGCAGACAGCAUAGCGAGAACAAGUGUCAUUUGCAGACGAUACGUCUGCUCCCCCUUUGGCUACACACAACCCCAGCUUUUACGCCCCUUGUUCAGCCAUGUUGGCAAGGCCGCCGCGGACAGUGUUUCCUUUCACUUUGCAGAAUCACAUUUCAUAGAGCAGCCGCACGGCUUGCAGCUACAACACACUGCGGCUACUGUAAUGUGGCAGAGAGAGAGAGAGAGAAAAAAAAAAACGAAGGACAUCAGAGAAGCAGCUUGAAGCUGACCAAAGAGAAAGUCUGCCUUUGUGUGUGCGUUUUUUCUUUUUGCUCUCCACAGUUGAAUUCAUCAUUCAGGGUUGCUCUGCUACACCCCCGCUGUCAACUUCAGUCUAUAAACUUGCUCAUUUCAAUGAGCAUGCCGUAUCGAUCUAUGAUGUCUAUUUCUAUGGCUCAAGACAUCCUGUUUGCUCCGGUGCUCCUGGCUACACCUCCACAGGCUCUCUCUUUUAAUCUGCCUGACCUUUUGGAGUCAGUGGUCGGAAAGAGUCAAAAGGUCACAUCAUCGGACCUGAGUGUCAGCAGCUUCAAAUAAAAUCUGAGAGAACCUCGGACCGCACAGAAAAUUGUAUCUCAUGUUUUGUAAUGAAGUUAUAGCCACUUAAGUUCAUUUAUGUUCAUUUAUGUUAAUGUGUUUCUGCAAACAUGAAGUGGAGAAUCAGAUAAUGUUGUCAGUAUUACUUCAUAAUAGUUUGAAUCUCAAGAAAUUUGUGUUUUAUAAAGAACUUCCUGAACUCAUCUUUU